rnacentral:rRNA from 1 species
UACGUAGGGACCAAGCGUUGUUCGGAUUUACUGGGCGUAAAGGGCGCGUAGGCGGCAAUUCAAGUCAGCUGUGAAAUCUCCGGGCUUAACUCGGAACGGUCAGCUGAUACUGCUUUGCUAGAGUGCAGAAGGGGCAAUCGGAAUUCUUGGUGUAGCGGUGAAAUGCGUAGAUAUCAAGAGGAACACCUGAGGUGAAGACGGGUUGCUGGGCUGACACUGACGCUGAGGCGCAAAAGCUAGGGUAGCAAACGGG